AUUGAACGCUGGCGGCAUGCUUUACACAUGCAAGUCGAACGGUAACAGGCCGCAAGGUGCUGACGAGUGGCGAACGGGUGAGUAAUGCAUCGGAACGUGCCCAGUCGUGGGGGAUAACGCAGCGAAAGCUGUGCUAAUACCGCAUACGAUCUAUGGAUGAAAGCGGGGGACCGUAAGGCCUCGCGCGAUUGGAGCGGCCGAUGUCAGAUUAGGUAGUUGGUGGGGUAAAGGCCUACCAAGCCGGCGAUCUGUAGCUGGUCUGAGAGGACGACAAGCCACACUGGGACUGGGACACGGCCCAGACUCCUACGGGAGGCAGCAGUGGGGAAUUUUGGACAAUGGGCGCAAGCCUGAUCCAGCAAUGCCGCGUGCAGGAUGAAGGCCUUCGGGUUGUAAACUGCUUUUGUACGGAACGAAAAGCCCUGGGUUAAUACCCUGGGGUCAUGACGGUACCGUAAGAAUAAGCACCGGCUAACUACGUGCCAGCCGCCGCCGUAACAC
rnacentral:rRNA from 1 species